CCUACGGGAGGCAGCAGUGGGGGAUAUUGCACAAUGGGGGAAACCCUGAUGCAGCGACGCCGCGUGGGCGAAGAAGUAUUUCGGUAUGUAAAGCCCUAUCAGCAGGGAAGAAGAAAUGACGGUACCUGAGUAAGAAGCACCGGCUAACUACGUGCCAGCAGCCGCGGUAAUACGUAGGGGGCAAGCGUUAUCCGGAUUUACUGGGUGUAAAGGGAGCGUAGACGGCAGUGCAAGUCCGGAGUGAAAGCCCGGGGCUCAACCCUGGGACUGCUCUGGAAACUGUAAAGCUGGAGUGCGGGAGGGGC
rnacentral:rRNA from 1 species